rnacentral:rRNA from 1 species
UACGAAGGGGGCUAGCGUUGCUCGGAAUUACUGGGCGUAAAGCGCACGUAGGCGGCUCUUUAAGUCGGGGGUGAAAUCCUGGAGCUCAACUCCAGAACUGCCUUCGAUACUGUAGAGCUUGAGUUCGGGAGAGGUGAGUGGAACUGCGAGUGUAGAGGUGAAAUUCGUAGAUAUUCGCAAGAACACCAGUGGCGAAGGCGGCUCACUGGCCCGGUACUGACGCUGAGGCGCGAAAGCGUGGGGAGCAAACAGG